AAAUUGAAGAGUUUGAUCAUGGCUCAGAUUGAACGCUGGCGGCAGGCCUAACACAUGCAAGUCGAACGGUAGCACAGAGGAGCUUGCUCCUUGGGUGACGAGUGGCGGACGGGUGAGUAAUGUCUGGGAAACUGCCCGAUGGAGGGGGAUAACUACUGGAAACGGUAGCUAAUACCGCAUAACGUCGCAAGACCAAAGAGGGGGACCUUCGGGCCUCUUGCCAUCGGAUGUGCCCAGAUGGGAUUAGCUAGUAGGUGGGGUAACGGCUCACCUAGGCGACGAUCCCUAGCUGGUCUGAGAGGAUGACCAGCCACACUGGAACUGAGACACGGUCCAGACUCCUACGGGAGGCAGCAGUGGGGAAUAUUGCACAAUGGGCGCAAGC
rnacentral:rRNA from 1 species